rnacentral:sRNA from 1 species
UGCAAUCUAAAUGUAUGGUAUGGAAUGG